rnacentral:rRNA from 1 species
AUUGAACGCUGGCGGCAGGCCUAACACAUGCAAGUCGAGCGGAUGAAGGGAGCUUGCUCCUGGAUUCAGCGGCGGACGGGUGAGUAAUGCCUAGGAAUCUGCCUGGUAGUGGGGGAUAACGUCCGGAAACGGGCGCUAAUACCGCAUACGUCCUGAGGGAGAAAGUGGGGGAUCUUCGGACCUCACGCUAUCAGAUGAGCCUAGGUCGGAUUAGCUAGUUGGUGGGGUAAAGGCCUACCAAGGCGACGAUCCGUAACUGGUCUGAGAGGAUGAUCAGUCACACUGGAACUGAGACACGGUCCAGACUCCUACGGGAGGCAGCAGUGGGGAAUAUUGGACAAUGGGCGAAAGCCUGAUCCAGCCAUGCCGCGUGUGUGAAGAAGGUCUUCGGAUUGUAAAGCACUUUAAGUUGGGAGGAAGGGCAGUAAGUUAAUACCUUGCUGUUUUGACGUUAACAACAGAAUAAGCACCGGCUAACCUCGUG